GAGAGACCAGAGGGACCACAGGAAGAGUUGGUGGGAAAGAAAUCAGAACAAAAACAAUGCAGCUUCCCUCUACUGCUCGGUGAAACCUUCCACAGAGAGUGUGUCCUUCUCCCAGGUGCCUGGUAUGCUGCAGUCGUACUGGCGAUACACAAGGGUGGGGAAGAACUGGGCAAUUGUCCUGUGCUGAGGAACUUUUUACCUGGGUGAAACUUUCCGGUCCGAAGAGCAGAGAGGAGGUUACCAGCAUGGAGUUACCUGAGUGACAGAGCCUCCAGGUUUGGGAAAACCAGCCCCUGGCAAGUGGCUGUGGUGAAGACUCUCUUUUGUCUCCAAAUGCUAAUAGUUCUGGAUUCAAAAUCUUUUUUUCUCUUUGACUGGACCCGGAUAUAAUAAAACAAGAAACUUACAGCAUAUAAUUUGGCAUUUUACUGGUAUGGGAAGCUCACAAAAAUUUUGUUCUCCCUGACAAGGCUCAGCUAAUUCUAUCAAAAUAAAUCUCUGGAGGAAAAAAAAAAGCUCUCUUUGAAAGACUAUGAGAAGCCCUUUCAAGAAUAAAAAUAACACUUAAAACCGA